rnacentral:lncRNA from 1 species
GCUCACAGUGCUGAUCUAGGCCCUAGCCCUGUGGAGUGAGUCUUUCUUCACAUAUACUGAAAAUAAGGAAUGUUUAUCCCACCAAAGAGGCUGAAUAGAACCCCUAUGGAGAAAAACAGAGGGCAGACAUGUGACUUAUUACAGGUCAAACCUUCAUCUGAGACCCUGUAAUAAAGCCUAAACAUGCUCACCACACAGUGGGCACUGGAAAGAAUGAGGUUGCUGACUUCACAGGGUGGGAAGAUUCCAUUUUCAACCUGCAGUCUACAAUGGGGUGGUUGGGAAGACCUCAAGGAGAGGAUGAUAUUGACCUAUUUGCUGGGCUCCCCAAGGGAAGAGCAUUCCAGGUAAACGAACAGCAAUGUACAAAACCUUGAUGUGGAAGCAAACCAGCCACGUUUGAGGAAGAACACAGGAGGCCAGUGGGACUAAAGUGGAAUCUGAGAGAUCACAGUGUGGGGUUUCAUUAGAGUUGUCUAGGCCAUUGUGAGGAAUCUGGAUUCUAUUCUUUGUGAGGUAGAAAGUCGCUGGAGAAGUUAAAGGAGACCAGAACAUGAUCUGACUUAAGGUUUUAUAAAAUUAAUCUACCUGAUAUGUUAAGAAUACAUGACUAUAAAAAAGUGACAGAAUGAGUUAACAAGUUGUUGAAGUAAUCCACGUGGAAAAUGAUGGUGUCAAUCAUCAAAUGGCCAAAUAAAAAGAGGUUCAAGGAUGGGGGGUUCAUCAGCAACCUCACAUCUUGGUAAAGAUUUAGGUAGAAGAAGGACUAAUUGAUCCUUUAAUUUAGCAUCAUGGACAACUUUUGGUGACAUUUAUAAGAGCAAUUUCAAUGGUGGCGUUAGAGGCCCAGUGUGUUCAAGGAAAAAUGUUAUCAAGGAGCCACAGACAAAGAACAAAGACUACUCUUUUUAGGAUCUUUUCUGAAAUGGGGAACAGAGAAAUGGGGGAGUUGUUUAAAGAGUAUGCAUGACUUAGAGUAACAGUGUUUUUAAAUUAAGGGAAAUUCCAGAACAUUUUUAUUAUUCUAGAAUGAUUUAAGAGAGUAGGAAAAUUAUGUGGAAGACAAUGCUCAUAAUUAUUAGAGCAGACAAUGCUCAUAAUUAUUACAGCAGACAAUGCUCAUAAUUAUUAGAGCUACACCCUGAGCAAGUAAGCAAAGCAGUGAGAAAAGUGAGCCUCAGAUGAGUGGUUGCCCUUCAGCAGGAACAUGGACAGCUCAUCCACAGUAAUGGGAGGGGGCAGGGGGAUGAUUGUCCUGUUGGGAAAUGUGGAACUUCUUCCUGACCCAUCCUGGUUUACUCAUUAAAUGUGCCUCAAGGUCAUCGGAUGAAAGAGAAGAUUGGAAGAAGCUACUGAAGGGAUAAUUCCUCAACUACAGUGGACAGAGCUGGAAUCUGAGCCAAGCGGAGCAGUCAUGCUGAGUUCAGGAAGCCUCACUGCUAAAUGCCACCUAUCAAAGUGGCCUCCCCUGACCAUCCUGUGUAAAAUAAUCCCUCCUUCCUCUCUAGACUUUCUAGCGUCUUUACCCUACUUUUUUUUUUUUUUUUUUUUUUUUUAACAAAUUAAAUCUUGGGCUGGGCGUGGUGGCUCACGCCUGUAAUCCCAGCACUUUGGGAGGCUGAAGCGGGCAGAUCACGAAGUCAGGAGAGUGAAACCAUCAUGGCUAACAAGGUGAAACCCCGUGUCUACUAAAAGUACAAAAAAAUUAGCUGGGUGUGGUGAUGGACACUCG